GACGAACGCUGGCGGCGUGCUUAACACAUGCAAGUCGAACGGAAAGGCCCUGCUUUUGUGGGGUGCUCGAGUGGCGAACGGGUGAGUAACACGUGAGUAACCUGCCCUUGACUUUGGGAUAACUUCAGGAAACUGGGGCUAAUACCGGAUAGGAGCUCCUGCUGCAUGGUGGGGGUUGGAAAGUUUCGGCGGUUGGGGAUGGACUCGCGGCUUAUCAGCUUGUUGGUGGGGUAGUGGCUUACCAAGGCUUUGACGGGUAGCCGGCCUGAGAGGGUGACCGGCCACAUUGGGACUGAGAUACGGCCCAGACCCCUACGGGAGGCAGCAGUGGGGAAUAUUGCACAAUGGGCGGAAGCCUGAUGCAGCAACGCCGCGUGCGGGAUGACGGCCUUCGGGUUGUAAACCGCUUUCGCCUGUGACGAAGCGCGAGUGACGGUAAUGGGUAAAGAAGCACCGGCUAACUACGUG
rnacentral:rRNA from 1 species